GACGAACGCUGGCGGCGUGCCUAAUACAUGCAAGUCGAGCGCAGGAAACUGACGGAACUCUUCGGAGGGAAGGCAGUGGAAUGAGCGGCGGACGGGUGAGUAACACGUAAGGAACCUGCCUCAAGGAUUGGGAUAACUCCGAGAAAUCGGAGCUAAUACCGGAUAGUUCAACGGACCGCAUGGUCCGCUGAUGAAAGGCGCUCCGGCGUCACCUUGAGAUGGCCUUGCGGUGCAUUAGCUAGUUGGUGGGGUAACGGCCCACCAAGGCGACGAUGCAUAGCCGACCUGAGAGGGUGAUCGGCCACACUGGGACUGAGACACGGCCCAGACUCCUACGGGAGGCAGCAGUAGGGAAUCUUCCACAAUGGACGAAAGUCUGAUGGAGCAACGCCGCGUGAGUGAUGAAGGUUUUCGGAUCGUAAAACCCUGUUGUAAGGGAAGAACACGUACGAGAGGGAAUGCUCGUACCUUGACGGUACCUUACGAGAAAGCCACGGCUAACUACGUGCCAGCAGCCGCGGUAA
rnacentral:rRNA from 1 species